rnacentral:rRNA from 1 species
AUUGAACGCUGGCGGCAUGCCUUACACAUGCAAGUCGAACGGUAGAGGGGGCAACCCCUUGAGAGUGGCGAACGGGUGAGUAAUGCAUCGGAACGUGCCCAGUCGUGGGGGAUAGCCCGGGGAAACCCGGAUUAAUACCGCAUACGACCUGAGGGUGAAAGCGGGGGACCGCAAGGCCUCGCGCGAUUGGAGCGGCCGAUGUCGGAUUAGCUAGUUGGUGGGGUAAAGGCCUACCAAGGCGACGAUCCGUAGCUGGUCUGAGAGGACGACCAGCCACACUGGGACUGAGACACGGCCCAGACUCCGACGGGAGGCAGCAGUGGGGAAUUUUGGACAAUGGGGGCAACCCUGAUCCAGCCAUGCCGCGUGCGGGAAGAAGGCCUUCGGGUUGUAAACCGCUUUUGUCAGGGAAGAAAUCCUUUGGGUUAAUAACCUGGGGGGAUGACGGUACCUGAAGAAUAAGCACCGGCUAACUACGUGCCAGCAGCCGCCGCAG